rnacentral:pre_miRNA from 1 species
AGUGGAAUAGCUGGGUCAUAUGGUAGUUCCAUUCCUAAUUUUUUGAUGAAUCUCCAUGUUGCUUUCCAAAAUGGUUAUACUAAUUUGCAGUCCCACCAACAAU